CUCUCAACAGUGCUGCAUUGGGAGCCAACCCUCGAAUAGACGAUUUUUGAGGACUAGUACUUGGAAGAGAUGAGAGAAGGUUGCAAGGAGGUGAGAAGUAUAUGAAUCAGUUCCUGGGGUGUCCUGAAGCUCUGAAGAAAAUGACUUGAAACAAUUCCAGCUCUCACUUUUUUCCUUCAAUCAAUUCCCAGCUGGGCUGUGACAGAAGGCAGAUGAUAAGAAAAGGAAGGAGAGCAAUAAAGCGCAGCCGCUUUACAAGAGAAGAAAAAGUUUCCCAGAGGGAAGUAAAGAAGGAAAGCCCCCCCAAAAAACCUAGGCACAGAGCUUGCUUGAAGGAGAAAGAUUACCAUGAAAUCUUUAAAUGUUCUAAACACCAUCAGUAACAGCUGUAAAGGAGUGGGAACAGGUAUAAUAGGGAUUAGUGGAAAGAGCUUCACUGUAGCCAUGUACUUUUCUGUAUUAUUUAGUAUUCCUCUCUUUGAAGAACUGCCUUAUGAGUUGAAUAUGAAAACAGAAGAAACUUUCCUAAUUGCCAGGUGAGCUUUAUGUACUCAUUAAAACAGCGUGUGGUUUCCACGUAAAACAAGCAAGCAAGCAAGCAAGCAAGCAAGCAAGCAAGUAACCAUCUGAGAUUCCUCACUCCCGUUCAGAAAAACUAAGAACACAGUUUGAUUUCAUUCAGUUCUGAAUGUUAUGUGUGAUUUUUUUGGGUAAUGACUUUAGGGAUGUAGUUCGUAUUGCACAAGCUUGACUUCAAAUGUUUUGAGGGGAAAGGCCUGAGGGAUUACAGAAGCAUGAACUGAAGCACUGCUGGGCCCUUGCUUGUCACCGGAAAAACCAAUAUAAACUUGGAACUGCAAAAGAAAUGCAG
rnacentral:lncRNA from 1 species